UCUGUAAAUGCUGGACAGGACAAAAGAUUCACCAAGGACUCCAGGCAGGUGGCCUGGAGAAGAGGGUGGCGCUGGCAUGUACCUGGGGCCAGGCAGGAGAAGAGAACAUGGCUUUUUGGGGUGGCUGCAGCAGCCUGGCCCCUCCAGCAGCUGCACGGGAAAGAAGGAAAGCUCUGUAAGGCUGACCGGGAAAGAAGAGAGGAGCUCUGGGGGCUGGGUGGAAAGUCCCGUACUCAUCAGGGCCAGGGAGGCCACAGAAACUACCUCACGCCAGCUUCCCAGAGGUACAGCGGCUAGAAUGGACCUCCAGGAGGCCCCUCCCAAGACUCCCGUCUCCCGGGUUCCACCGUAGUGGGGGCAGCCACAGCUGCCUCUGCAAUGCUUGUAGGACCCACACACAGUGGGGCAUGGAGGGGCAGAGGCCGCAGCCCCUUUGCCAUGAAUCCAAAGAACCUGGAGUGAUUCUGCAGAGACGUUCGAACCAGAGUGACUCCAUCUUGAACAGGGGCUGGGUAAAAUGAGGCCCAGACCGGCUGGGCCGCAUUCCCUGGAGGUCAGGCAUUCUUAGUCAGGAUGAGAUCAGCACAAGAUACAGAUCACAAAGACCCCGCUGAUAAAACAGGAUGCCGUGAAGAAGCCGGCCCCAAACCACCAAAACCAAGACAGCCAGUCCUCACUGCUCAUUAUGUGCUGAUUAUAAUACAUUAGCAUGAGACACGCCCACCAGCACCAGGACCAUUUACGGUUGCCAUGGCAAUGCCGGGAAGUUACCCUAGAUGGUCUAAAAGGGGGAGGAACCCUCACUUCCGGGAAUUGCCUGCCCCUUUCCCGGAAAAGUCCGGAAUAAUCCACGCCAUGUUUAGUACAUAUCAAGAAACAACAAUAAGUGUUCUCGGUGGAGUAGCCCAGGCCGCUGCUCAGCCUAUGGGGCAGCCCUUCUCUUAUUCCUUUACUUUCCUAUUAAACUUGCCUUCAGUUUACUCAGUGGACUCCCCCGAAUUCUUCCUUGUGUGGGGUCCAAGAACCCUCUCUCGGGGUCUGGAUCGGGACCUCCUUUUCCGGUGACAGUCCCUGGGACUUAGUAGCAG